AUCUGCACAUCACUAAGCAGCUGACUUAAAAAUGUAAGCAAGGGCUGGUGACAAAACGAUGCAAAAAUAAAGCUAACAAUAUUUGCUAACACAAAAUCGGAUAUCAAUCGGCGGCUUCCUUGUUGUUGCCCUUGCACUCAAAUCUAUUCUGUGGUGCUGAUAAAUUACUUUUCUAUCAGCAACAAUAAUAACGGAAACAUUCCCCUCCCUAACGUCAACAACUUUCAUGCCGGAUAUUCAGUUUUUCCACCAGUUAGAGCAACUGGCUCACGUAAAUAUGGGGUGAAUAUAAUUCUGAAAAGUUUUGCACACUUCUAAAAGUUACCUUACUCUAUCUAUGGGAGCGCAGAAUGUAAACAUUAACAUUGUCAAUGUUUUAUUCUAAUGCAUCGAUGUUGAGCUUUGAUUUUCACCGGCAAAUGGAUGAACAUUUACAUUUCAUCAUCAACAAUGAUGCAAAAGGCUAAUUCAGCAAUUUUUAGUAUCGAAGCAGUAGUUGGCAACCCUACCAACAAGCAUUACUUAUCUUAACUUACGCGCACAUCUCCGAACACCUUCGGAAAAUCAGUUGUUACUGUGUCCAAGUUAAGAUGGUAUAAAAUAUCCGGAUUAAGGCAUUCGAUGUAGGGGUUCAUGUUGCCUAGAGUGGACUCCAACUCUUGCGGUUCUUCUGGGUUGCAACCAUCCUUGAUGUGUUUUAUGAGUUCAUCAAUGCGUUUAUUUUGUGAUUUAACCAUGGCUGUAUAGCUGCGUUAUAAGGAUGACCCACAGGACUAAAAUUUGCUCACCUUUCAGUUCGCAGACAUCUUUUUCGAUAUCUUUACUACAUUUGGUCGUCAUUCUUUCAAGCUUUUAAGUGAAUUUGCUUUAAAUUUAGUCCGAAAAAGAAUUUGGAAUAGCUGAAAUAUAUUUAGAAUUUAGAAAAGUUUUGUAUUUGAGUAAAUUCUCACAACAAGAAUUUAAGGAUACAUAUUUCAUAGAUCUUGACAAAGUUUAAGCUCUUAAAAAAGGCUGAUUACCAAAUGAAAACAAAGAUCGAGAAAUAAUGAUGACCCGUCUGUCGGAAGAGUUUUAUAUAGAUAAUAAUACUUUAUACGAACUACAGCAUCAAUCUUAAGAGAAUCAAGGCAGGUGUGUCGCAAGUCUCUGUGCCCCGUGUCGUACAACCAGAGCCAGAAGCUUGAAAGGGCUCCACAAGAUUGAAUGACUGCUGCAAGGCACUCCUUAUCAAAAUGAUGUACCCACACCGGCCAAUCCUGAGGCACAGCAUCAGCACAACAGCUUCAUUGAAAAAGGGUAGUUUAAACUAAGGCAACGCGUAAGGUAGCCGGCAUCCCAUGGUGCGGUGCCAUCGAUGCCAUCGAAGUCGGUCUCCGCCUAACAAAGAUCGGAAAUCAUCUCAACUUCUUCAGUAGCCGCUUUGACUGGCCCUACUACAGAGAGGCGCUUGCUAAAGAUAUACCUGCGAUGUACUUACUAGGGCAAUCGAUUAAAUCCCUUACUUAUCAGUCUAUGUCCACAAACGUUUCAUAGUAAAUAUCCCAUGAUUGUAUAUAAAACUAACUAUGCCCUUGUUAUCAUAGUCCUGCGUUUGAUCAAAUCCAGAGCACAAUAUGACGACAAAGCAAACAAUCAUUAAUUUUUGAAAUACAUUUUGCUUUUAAUAUACCAAUUACUUUCAUAAAAUGUUUGUGAUUUCAUUUAAACCGAUUUUAUAUUUGCUUCAGCUGAAUUUUUACGUGUACAACUUGAUUUUUAAUUUUUUUGGUUUUUUUUUUUUUUUUUGGAAUUGAAUAAGAGCAACUUUUGUUAAUAUAGCGUAUGAUUAGCAACAUGCGAAUCCGCACAACAAUUGUUUUUGGAAUUACAGCACAAUAUGUGUAAUAGAAUAAUUUACGAAAUUUUAUAUUACGAUUUGAAAUACAUAUAAUUAAUAUUUGGUUUGCCUCAUUUGGAAUAUGCAACAUAA